GGUAGAAGGAGCUUGCUCCUUUGAGACCGGCGCACGGGUGCGUAACGCGUAUGGCAAUCUACCUUUCACAGAGGGAUAGCCCAGAGAAAUUUGGAUUAAUACCUCAUAGUAUAGCAGUUUCGCAUGAAACCACUAUUAAAGUCACAACGGUGAAAGAUGAGCAUGCGUCCCAUUAGCUAGUUGGUAAGGUAACGGCUUACCAAGGCAACGAUGGGUAGGGGUCCUGAGAGGGAGAUCCCCCACACUGGUACUGAGACACGGACCAGACUCCUACGGGAGGCAGCAGUGAGGAAUAUUGGACAAUGGGCGCAAGCCUGAUCCAGCCAUGCCGCGUGCAGGAUGACGGUCCUAUGGAUUGUAAACUGCUUUUGUACAGGAAGAAACACCUCUACGUGUAGAGACUUGACGGUACUGUAAGAAUAAGGAUCGGCUAACUCCGUGCCAGCAGCCGCGGUAAUACGGAGGAUCCAAGCGUUAUCCGGAAUCAUUGGGUUUAAAGGGUCCGUAGGCGGUUUAGUAAGUCAGUGGUGAAAGCCCAUCGCUCAACGGUGGAACGGCCAUUGAUACUGCUAGACUUGAAUUAUUAGGAAGUAACUAGAAUAUGUAGUGUAGCGGUGAAAUGCUUAGAGAUUACAUGGAAUACCAAUUGCGAAGGCAGGUUACAACUAAUUGAUUGACGCUGAUGGACGAAAGCGUGGGUAGCGAACAGGAUUAGAUACCCUGGUAGUCCACGCCGUAAACGAUGGAUACUAGCUGUUGGGCGCAAGUUCAGUGGCUAAGCGAAAGUGA
rnacentral:rRNA from 1 species